UGGAACCCUUUCUUGCUCUUAGAUGC
rnacentral:piRNA from 1 species